GAGUUGGUGGACAAAUUUCUGCUUGUAGCUCUGGCUCUAAUCUCCUAGUGUAGGAAAGCAUUUAUGGCAAUCCUGAGGAAUAUUUCACUUUUAUCACAAGAAUCUCUGAGGGAAUUCUCAGGCCAUGAGGACACAGACCAGAGAACCAAGCCAGAGGCUACAGAUCAGAGCUAAGCCACGAAGAGGAAAAAACUGGAUGACCACUUGCUAUGGAUUCUGUCAAGAGGAUUCUUUCUCAAGUCUAGACUGGACCAAAGUUUUCUUCUAAUUGCCAAGAUUUAAUGACUUCAUCUAUUACUAACAGCAAGUAUACAAAUAGGAUAUUAUUGGUCAUCAAAAAGAUAUUUAGGUAGCAAAAAUGAAAGUCAAAUAGUUCUAAUAUUACAUUGUGCCUCUAAAAUCUUAAAAGAUCAAGAGGAAGGU
rnacentral:lncRNA from 1 species